rnacentral:misc_RNA from 1 species
AACUUCCAAGUGCAGAACUUAAAAGAUGAACUUGAUUGGAAUUUGCAUAUGUGACUACUAAAACAAGGUAUAUGGAGCAUACUCUUGAAAAGAAGAUGCAGAUUUUCAUGAUGCGUGAGCUGUUAACGCAACAAAUCUGCCUGCAAUGUUAUAGAAUCCCUAUUUUAGAAGGUAAAAUAGCACAUAUAUUCGAACAUUUAAACCAUAGCAUAACUGCAUCUUUAUUUAAUUUAUCCUCUACUAAUUGUGAAGCCAACUGUAAGCUUGCUUUUAAAGACCUUUUAGUUUUGCUGUGAAUUUAACUAUUACCCAAAAACUUUGGACACAUCUAAGAUUUCCAUGUGCUGGCUUCAUAAAAAGAAGCAAGGCCUCACAACUAAAAGCUUCAGAUACCAUAUAUCUGCUCUUUAAGCACCUGAAUAGAAUAACUAUUUUAUCUAGUCUGACACACUACUUUAAAUUCAAGGUCCCAGGAUAAUUAUGUUUCUUGAGGAAUAGAUAUAAAAUUAAUGGUAGUUGAC